rnacentral:telomerase_RNA from 1 species
UGCUGUUUUAUGGCGGGCAUACGAGGGGUAAGGAAUGCUACGUAAGCAAUUUCUACCGCUGCUACCUAACCCAAACCUUUUUUCAUAGAGAUGUGGGUGGCUUUUUUUAAGGUUUUUAACCCCUCUAUGGGAUACUAUUUCACUGGUGUGCAAUAGUAUAAUUAUUAACUGUUGUAUUAUUAUUUCAUCAUAACUUUAUGAUGAAUUAAUAGUACCGCUGGUUUACUAAGCUCUGGUUCCAGUAAAGUAAAAACCCGAAUGGGAAGCAAGCAGAAAUGUUUGUU